GACCGAGGUGCCGAGCGUUAGGCGGAAUCACUGGGCUUAAAGAGCGUGUAGGCGGCCUGAAAGGUCAGCUGUGAAAACUCGAGGCUCAACCUCGAGACGUCGGUUGAAACCAUCUGGCUAGAGUCCGGAAGAGGAGUGUGGAAUUCCCGGUGUAGCGGUGAAAUGCGCAGAUAUCGGGAAGAACACCCGUGGCGAAGGCGGCACUCUGGGACGGUACUGACGCUGAGACGCGAAAGCGUGGGGAGCGAACAGG
rnacentral:rRNA from 1 species